rnacentral:lncRNA from 1 species
UGAAAAAAAGAGAACAAGAUAAUGAUGGUAAAUUGAAGUAAAAACGAUAUAAGAAUAUACCUCUAGUUUAAUCUAGGUCUAGAAGACCUAGACAAUUGCAUUUAUAUAUUUUUCUUACUUUAAGAUGUCUUUUUAAUUUUAUGAAGAUCAAGUCCUUUUAAGAUUUCUCUUUUGAUAUAGCACAUCAUCAAAUCAUUUAACUAAUCAUUGGUCAUCUUGUUGCGUGGAGCUAGGCGGAGGUUGUUGUGUUGAUUUGCUUUGAGCUCCUCGACGUUCUAAGAACAGGGACGAGUGAAUGGCGAUAGGGGCUGCAAUACAAUAGGAACUGAAGCUGGACGAUAGGCGGAAUAGGGGUCAGGGGUGAAUCGCAGAGCUAGGUCAGGUAGAAUCGCGCCGGACAGGUGGAGCUAGGCGAUGGGCGAAGCGAGGGCAAACGACGAAGUGCGAAGCUAAGCUUGGAUGGAGACACGCGGAGCUGGCUGGGCCGCUGAGGCACGCCACACGCGGAGCUGGCGAUUGGGCAGACGAUGAAGGCCCCGUUUGUUUGGGUUUUUUUAGCUUCUGACACCAAAAGCUGUUGCGGACUGCCAAACGCCCCUAGCUUUUCAGCCCACCUGUAUAAGAAUCGUUUUGGUAAAAAACAUCCAAAUCAACAUGAACACAAAAUCGGUCGAGUCGUCACGAUAGUAGGAAUCUAUCGCUUUCUAGAUCCUAAACCCUUUGGACCACUUCAUCUUCCUCCGCAUUAAUCCUCACGAUACUCAGAUUCUU